GAUGAACGCUGGCGGCGUGCCUAAUACAUGCAAGUCGAGCGAAUGGAUUAAGAGCUUGCUCUUAUGAAGUUAGCGGCGGACGGGUGAGUAACACGUGGGUAACCUGCCCAUAAGACUGGGAUAACUCCGGGAAACCGGGGCUAAUACCGGAUAAUAUUUUGAACCGCAUGGUUCGAAAUUGAAAGGCGGCUUCGGCUGUCACUUAUGGAUGGACCCGCGUCGCAUUAGCUAGUUGGUGAGGUAACGGCUCACCAAGGCAACGAUGCGUAGCCGACCUGAGAAGGUGAUCGCCCACACUGGGACUGAGACACGGCCCAGACUCCUACGGGAGGCAGCAGUAGGGAAUCUUCCGCAAUGGACGAAAGUCUGACGGAGCAACGCCGCGUGAGUGAUGAAGGCUUUCGGGUCGUAAAACUCUGUUGUUAGGGAAGAACAAGUGCUAGUUGAAUAAGCUGGCACCUUGACGGUACCUAACCAGAAAGCCACGGCUAACUACGUGCCAGCCGCCGCGGUAA
rnacentral:rRNA from 1 species